ensembl:lncRNA
UAGGUCAUUUAACACGGGACCUAAUGUUCAUGGGGAAACUCCAUCCCUUCAAGGUGCUCUUGAACCCUUAACAUGCUCACAAUGCAGUGUCUGCUGUUUUAUUUAUCAUUUGCAUUCUGGCGUUUUAUGGAUAAAUAAGCUGCAAAAGUGAAUUCUGAGGGAAUGUUCUCAAUCUUGGGAUUUCUUAAGAUGCAUUGAAGACCUCCAGUCACUAGAAAAAAUGCCAACUUUAGAAAAACAACAUCUUCUCUGCUUCAUUGUGGUUUCCAUGGAUACAAUCAAUGGUCUGAGAAAGACAGAUUGGCCCAAAGCUUUCAUGAUGGAAACGGGCCCUGAGAUUCAAAAAUGUGUUAGGAAACCUCUUCCUGUCAGCUGAUGGCAUGAUGCUUAUGAACAGAUGGAGCCAUCUGAACCAACAA